GUUUCAAUUAAGUCCAAUUAAGUCCCUUAUCUUCUAUUCUUUGUUCCGAGAUGGUCAAUAUGGUCCAUUUAUUGUUUCGAAAUAAACCCUUGUGUUCCAAAAGUUAUACCAAUGUACCAUUUUGAAACACAAUUCAAACAAAAAAGACCACAUUGAAACUAAAAAGUAAGAUAAGGGAAAAAAUGUAUUUUAGCCAUCUUUUUACUAUAGAAUUUUCUGGUAACUCUGGUUCAUUGUGUGUUAGCAUAACUAGUAAGGAGAACUUUUACUGAUAUGCCAAAGUCAGUAUUUGUAUCCCUUGGAAUCCUGUGACUGAAUGCAUUCAUAUUUGGAGAUACUGAAAUAGUUUUGAUAUGUUGAAAUUUGUGUCUCAUGGAUGAAAAGUUUUUCUCCUUAAAAAUUACUAGUUGGGAGAGUUUGUAGAAAUUUGAGAUUGCUGAAAAUAUAUUCUGGUUGUACUAAAUGGAUUUAUUUUGAACCUACAUAUUUAGAUAUGUUGGAAGUUAUUAGAGAUUAGUUCAGAAUCAGCAUAUUCUAUUUUUUGUGCAGCUCAUAACACUGACUGUAAAUAAUAAUUAGUUGUUUCCUUAUUUAGAAUUAGCAUUUAUAGGAAGAAUAAUUGCCCUGAUUCUCAGACUAGAUUAGUGCUUACUGGUCUGUCAAUUGUAUUCUAUAUAUACCUUUCAUGUAUUAUUCACUAAAUUAUCAAAGAAAUACAGAUUGUUUAUUUCUUUAUGGUAUCAGUUGCAGGAAGAAUUCCUUAGGGUUUUUUUUUUUGCUUCCGUUUCCUUUUUUCCAUCCCACAUAAUGUCUGAUGACUUGUCUGAUACUGAGUCCCAGUCUUUACCCAAACAUUCUUCACUUAAAUCUGAAAUACCACAACCUGUCAAGACAUACCAUGAAAAUCACCCUGUUCAGAUCACAACAAUUCGGCUGAAAGGCGGAUCUAAUUAUUUUCGCUGGUCACAGUCUGUCCGUUUGUAUCUCAGGGGGAGAGGAAAAAUUGGCUACAUCACUGGAGACAAGAAACAACCAGACAAGGAAAGCGCAGACUAUGAGACUUGGGAUGCCGAAAAUUCCAUGGUCAUGACUUGGUUAGUCAAUUCCAUGACUGAAGAGAUAGGUGCAAACUAUCUCUGUUAUGCUACUGCAAAAGAUCUUUGGGAAGGUGUCGCUGAGAUGUACUCUGAUUUGGACAACCAAUCCCAAAUUUAUGAAUUAACUCUCCAGCUUGGAGAAAUUCGGCAAGCUGACGAUUCUGUCACCAAAUACUUCAAUUGUCUCAAGCGUAUUUGGCAAGAUCUGGAUUUGUUCAAUGUAUAUGAGUGGAAGUCAACCGAGGACUGCAAGCACUACAAGAAGAUGGUGGAUGUUAGUCGUGUCUUCAAGUUUCUUGCAGGUCUAAAUAUUGAGUUUGAUGAGGUUCGUGGCCGGAUUCUUGGCAGGAAUCCUAUCCCUCCAAUUGGUGAAGUCUUUGCUGAAGUGCGUCGCGAAGAGAGUCGUAGGCAAGUGAUGCUUGGAAAAAAAGCAGUCAUUGUCCCUCCACCAGUCGAAGGAUCUGCCUUGGCUGUUCCUCAAGUCAAUCACAAAUCUUUCCCUCCACGAGGUGAUGACAAGGACCGUUUAGUUUGCGACUACUGUGGUAAAAAUCGUCACACUCGGCAAGGUUGUUUCAAACUACAUGGUAGGCCAAACAAUAGAAAGACUGGUAAGCUUGGUGACCGCCCUGCGUCUUCGACCAAUGAAGCUAACUCGUCUCCAUUUACUAAGGAGCAGAUGGAUCACCUUUUUAAACGUCUAAAGUUCAAUUCAUCACCUAAUGUUCCUGUUGGAACUGUGGCACAAACAGGACCAGAACUCGGGGAAGAUGAUUGGAACUGCUAGAGAGAUGAAUGGACUGUACUACUUUGAUGAAACUCCUCUUGGAAAUACAACGGCUUGUGGUUUAAACAGUGCAAGUUCACCUCUCGUUUCAGAUCAAGUUAUGUUAUGGCACAAAAGAUUAGGUCAUCCUAGUUUCCCUUAUCUUAAGUAUUUGUUUCCUAAAUUUGCAAAAGAAAUAAAUUCCUCACAGUUUCAUUGUGAAGCUUGUCACUUAGCUAAAGAUCACCGUGUGUCUUUUACUUCAAAAGUUUAUUCUGCUUCGCAACCUUUUUAUUUAAUUCAUAGUGAUGUUUGGGGGCCUUCAAAAAUUAAAACUAUGUCUGGAAAAAAAUGGUUUGUGACAUUUAUUGAUGAUCAUACACGUGUGUGUUGGGUUUAUCUCUUGGAAAAAAAAUCAGAAGUGGAACAACGGUUUAAAGAUUUUUUUUCAAAUGAUUGAAAACCAAUUUCAAACUAAGAUUGGCAUUCUAAGGUCUGACAAUGGCACUGAAUAUUUCAACAAAUAUUUAAGUACAUUCCUAGUAACUAAGGGGAUAAUACAUCAAUCCACUUGUCGUGAUACUCCACAACAAAACGGUGUUGCUGAAAGAAAAAAUAGACAUCUCCUCGAAGUUACUAGAGCUAUUAUGUUUUCUAUGAAUGUACCUAAAUAUCUUUGGGGAAAUGCCUUAUUAACUGCUUGUUACCUCAUAAAUAGAAUGCCAUCUCGUGUUUUAAAAUAUGAGACUCCUGUGGAGGUUUUACAAAAUUAUUUUCCCAUGUCUCGCAUCAUUGCGGAUCUUCCCCUUAAAGUUUUUGGUUGUCUCUGUUAUGUCUACAUCCCAAAUAUUUUUCGUUCUAAAUUGGAUCCUAAAGCUGAAAAAUGUGUUUUUCUUGGCUAUGCUUCAAAUAAAAAGGGUUACAAAUGUUUUAACCCAGUAACAAAGAAAUUUUUUGAAAGUAUGGAUGUCCACUUUGUUGAAAAUCAGCCUUUUUUUGAUAAAAAUUCUCUUCAGGGGGAGAAUCAUUGUACUAAUAACGAAGAUAAUUUUUGGGAAACUUUACCUGCAUUGGAUGAUAUUGUAACUAUAAAUAAUCCAGAUGCAAAGAUAAUGGAACCUAGAAUGCUUAAUCUUGAAUUGCCGGAAAAUAUAGUAUCUGAAACAGGGGGACAAACACUGAUUAAGGAUCAUACUCCUCAACUUCAAGUGUAUGUCCGAAAAAAGUUUCAACAAGGUAUUACAGAUCCAAUUGUCUCUCCGGCAGAAAUCCAAUCUGAUUUACCAAGUGAAGGUCCUACAGAAAUUUUACCUUCUAGUUCUUCAUCUGGUGUGUUGUGGCAUAUGCUUCAGAUCUAAUAUUUCUUCAAGUAAGUUUGAAUCCACAUCGUGGGAAAGGUUUCAGGGCACGUGGUGUUAGUCUGGAUCAUGC